ACCUUGUCGAUCCUGGGCUUUCUGCUCGCAUUAAUCGUAUGUGCUUCAGUUAUACCUACGAGAGGGCAAUACCCAGCAGUGGCCGCAAUAUCUAGAGUUCCUUAUCCAUCUGAUUGGUGGAGCGGAUUGCAGGGGUGCAGACGGAACGAGGAAUACAAGGAGCAAAUAAGCAGCAGUUGUGCCGAAUGGAAAUGCUGGUGCCUGUAUAAAGGCUGGCCCGUUGGAUGCACGCGGGACUACACUAGCGGGUGUUUCUGUCGGGAAGGUUACUUCAGAAACAGGAGAAACAAGUGUGUAAGGGGGUGGAAAUGCUUCGGAGAAUUCACCACCUACCGAAAUGAGCCGGCAGAGUAAACCUCAAGAUGACAUACGGUGACCUAGCUGUCGUCCGAAGCCAUUGAUCUCGGGAUACAAAAAGCAGGGAGGUAAAUUCAGGUGACGAGCAAACGGGGCAAAAGAGAAAAUCAAAACUCAAAUGGCCAACGUCAUGUUCUGCGAUACAGAACGGCGCAUCUGAAAUAAUAUAACUGCGAAUUUCGCUGAAUAAAGAUAAUUUGAAUUUCUGGCAA
rnacentral:lncRNA from 1 species